CUUUUCCUCAGACAUGCAAUUAUGGUGAGAAUUGUUUGACUCAUUCUUUUAAACAACAAUAUAAUUAGAAUAUAAUUAGAGAAAAAUAUAUAAUUAUAUAAAAUAAAACUUCUUAAAGUGAAGAUUUAAAAUACUAAAGGUUGAGUGGCACUGUAUGGUGUAUGCACUGUACACACUUCAUAAUUUUACACUAUUACACAUCGCUAUGCAGUACUAAACAUGCUCUCCUAAUGACGUAGUCUUCUUGUCCAUCUCCCUGCCACAGCCAAGCUCCCAUUUAACAUGAUGACAAAUAUGGAGACACUUCUGAAUGGUGUCAAAGAUAAAGCUGGACACUAAAGUGGUAUGAACAGUCUUUACUCAGCAAUAACUAUUGAAAAAUACAGGAAAGAGUCCACUUGAACUGAAUGCAACUUCACUGGAAAAAACAAAAAAAGCAGGA
rnacentral:lncRNA from 1 species